GACGAACGCUGGCGGCGUGCUUAACACAUGCAAGUCGAACGAUGAAACCUAGCUUGCUAGGUCGAUUAGUGGCGAACGGGUGAGUAACACGUGACUAACCUGCCCCUUUCUCUGGGAUAACGCUCCGAAAGGAGUGCUAAUACCGGAUACUCACACCGAGGCACAUGCCUUGGUGUGGAAAGUUUUUCGGAAAGGGAUGGAGUCGCGGCCUAGCAGUUUGGUGGUGGGGUAACGGUGCACCAAGGCGAAGACGGGUAGUCGGCCUGAGAGGGGGACCGGCCCCGCUGGGACUGAGCCACGGCCCAGACUCCUACGGGAGGCAGCAGUGGGGAAUAUUGCACAAUGGGCGCAAGCCUGAUGCAGCGACGCCGCGUGAGGGAUGAAGGUCUUCGGAUUGUAAACCUCUUUCAGUAGGGACGAAGCGAAAGUGACGGUACCUAAAGAAGAAGCACCGGCUAACUACGUGCCAGCCGCCGCCGUAA
rnacentral:rRNA from 1 species